UAAGGAAUAUUGGUCAAUGGACGGAAGUCUGAACCAGCCAUGCCGCGUGGAGGAUGAAGGUCCUCUGGAUUGUAAACUUCUUUUAUAGGGGGCGAAAAAAGGGAAUUCUUUCUCGUCUGACGGUACCCUAUGAAUAAGCACCGGCUAACUCCGUGCCAGCAGCCGCGGUAAUACGGAGGGUGCAAGCGUUAUCCGGAUUCACUGGGUUUAAAGGGAGCGUAGGCGGGCAUGUAAGUCAGUGGUGAAAGCCCUCAGCUUAACUGAGGAACUGCCAUUGAUACUAUAUGUCUUGAAUGUCGUUGAGGUUUGCGGAAUAGGUCAUGUAGCGGUGAAAUGCUUAGAUAUGACCUAGAACACCUAUUGCGAAGGCAGCAGGCUAAACGAAUAUUGACGCUGAGGCUCGAAAGCGUGGGGAUCAAACAGG
rnacentral:rRNA from 1 species